rnacentral:tRNA from 1 species
AGUUUUAAUAAUUUAAAUAAAAAUAUUGGUCUUGUAAAUCAAAAAUAAGAAUUUUUCUUUUAAAACUUC